UACAGAGGGGGGCAAGCGUUGUUCGGAAUUACUGGGCGUAAAGGGCGCGUAGGCGGCCGCCUAAGUCAGACGUGAAAUCCCUCGGCUCAACCGGGGGAACUGCGUCUGAUACUGGGAUGGCUUGAAUCCGGGGAGAGGGAUGCGGAAUUCCAGGUGUAGCGGUGAAAUGCGCAGAUAUCAGGAGGAACACCGAUGGCGAAGGCAGGUCUCGUGGGGCCAUAACUGACGCUGAGAAGCGAAAAGCAUGGGGAGCGAACAGG
rnacentral:rRNA from 1 species